rnacentral:lncRNA from 1 species
GGUGGUUUCACUGAGUAUGUUACAGAAUCACAUCAGUCGCCUUGUAUCAAUAUAUCCCAGUGUUCAGGAUCCACAUUGUUCCUGGUGUUUGCUCUCGUUCUACGCCUGCUUUAUUGUCAAGAGUAUGUCGUAGGCGUUAGCCUGAGGGCAGCACACACACACUCUCCUCACUCUGUCUCUCCUCACUGACAGGGCUCCAAAAUCUCUCCUCUGUAUAUUCUCUUUCUCUCUCUCUUUCUUUCUCUCUCUCACUUUCUUUCUCUCGAAUUGAAUCCCGGCCUAGGGCUAUCAUGGAAGUAGCGUUGUCGGCAUAUGAGAGCUUAUAGUCAUCCAUGUCAACAGAAAGUGGUGUGUGACACACUUUGACCUGUCCAAGUCUCAGGUACGCAGUAUUACUGUAUUAGUCCCAGGUCCAGCAAGCAAUGUCUGUCUAUGGAGACUGAUGGUGUUCUCAUCUUCUUAAUAAACGGUGUACAUGGUGGGACUCAGGCUCUCUCCUGCCAUUUAGAUGUAAUAUGAUCUCCCCCUCAGAGAGAGGAAGAAUGGGGGAGGUGAAAGCCUCGGUGAGUGUUAUAGGAGAUUACUGCCUUAUUGCUCUGAGACUCUCCUCUCUGGCAUGCCUGACCCUACACACACACACACACAGAGCACACCAUUCCCUGAGAAGGUAACAAUAAAUCAGUCCAGAUUGUGCGCAAGUGGCAGAGACAGAAUAACAGGCCAAGGUUGAGGAAGAAAGGAAGAGAGAGGAAAAUAUAUUGGGAGACAAAGAAAUAUAGGAUGAUGACAAGACAACAAAACAAGAUCUCAUAGUUUCCCUUAGAAAUCCGACAGUAUUAUGGAUGAAUGUUUUUUUUAUGCAUUAAUUCUGCGUGGUUACAGGGUAUAAAAAGAAACAACUAAAAGGUUAACAGUUUAGGCAUUAAUUUAAGUGGUUAAAGGGGCAAUCAGCAGAUGUUACAUCCAUUUUACUUAGAAAUGUAUCCCGUUUUAGGGAAGACCCACUUGCAGACAGUGUCGAAGUAACAAAAGUGUAUUACUAGAACAGAGGGCAGGCAAAAUGAUAGGUAAAGGGCAGGCAGAGGUCAGUAAUCCAGAUCAGAGUCAAAAGGUACAGAACGGCAGGCAGUCUCAGGGUCAGGGCAGGCAGAGGUCAAUAAUCCAGGGUGGUGUGACAAGGUACAGGAUGGCAGGCAGGCUCAGGGUCAGGGCAGGCAGAAGUCAAUAAUACAGGGCGGUGUGACAAAGUACAGGAUGGCAGGCAGGCUCAGGGUCAGGGUCAGGGCAGGCAGAAUGGUCAAAAUCGUAAAAGCUCGAAAACAGGAACUAUAGAAAAAAGAUAAGAGCAAGGGGAAAAACGCUUGAAGGCUUGACAGACAAAACAAACUGGCAACAGACAAACAGAGAACACAGGUAUAAAUACACUUGGGGAUAAUGGGAAAGAUGGGCGACACCUGGAGGGGGGUGGAGACAAUCACAAAGACAGGUGUGAGUGUGAAAAAAUGAUAUGUACCCAUUGAUUCUUGAAAAAUAUAACUUAUAAAUGCCUCAUGUCGUACUUCAUCAGAACCCAAAAUAUAAGCUUGUUUUUUUUCCUAUGAUUGAAACAAAGAAAAGGUAAACAAAGACCAUAUAGGCUCAAAAC